rnacentral:rRNA from 1 species
UGGGCGUAAAGCGUGCGCAGGAGGUUAUGCAAGACAGAUGUGAAAUCCCCGGGCUCAACCUGGGAAGUGCAUUUGUGUCUGCAUGGCUAGAGUACGGUAGAGGGGGAUGGAAUUCCGCGUGUAGCAGUGAAAUGCGUAGAUAUGCGGAGGAACACCGAUGGCGAAGGCAAUCCCCUGGACCUGUACUGACGCUCAUGCACGAAAGCGUGGGGAGCAAACAGGAUUAGAUACCCUGGUAGUCCACGCCCUAAACGAUGUCAACUGGUUGUUGGGAGGGUUUCUUCUCAGUAACGUAUCUAACGCGUGAAGUUGACCGCCUGGGGA